AGCAGCCGCGGUAAUUCCAGCUCCAAUAGCGUAUAUUAAAGUUGUUGCAGUUAAAAAGCUCGUAGUUGAGUUUCGGGAUCAAUAUGUUGGUCGUGCCUCGAUACGUACUAGCAUAUUGGUUUCUCCUUUCUGAAGAACCUCGAUGUCAUUAAUUUGGUGUCUUGGGGAAUCAGGACUGUUACUUUGAAAAAAUUAGAGUGUUUAAAGCAGGCUCGCGCUUGAAUACAUUAGCAUGGAAUAAUGAAAUAGGACGUUUGAUUCUAUUUUGUUGGUUUCUAGGAUCGACGUAAUGAUUAAUAGGGAUAGUUGGGGGCAUUAGUAUUCAAUUGUCAGAGGUGAAAUUCUUGGAUUUAUUGAAGACUAACUACUGCGAAAGCAUUUGCCAAGGAUGUUUCAUUAAUCAAGAACGAAAGUUAGGGGAUCGAAGACGAUCAGAUACCGUCGUGGUCUUAACCAUAGACUAUGCCGACUAGGGAUCGGAUGAUGUUAAUUUUUAAUGA
rnacentral:rRNA from 1 species